CAGCAUGGGUGGAGGAGGGGUAGAGGGGCUGGGAGGGGUCAGGAGAAAGGGCAGCAGCAAUCACGUGGCCAGUCGGGGUUUGGGUGGCCAUCAUGAGAACAGAGGAGCGGUAGUGGCCACGGGAGAAACCCGUAAUUGACAGAUCUCACAAGCGUUAAUUCAGGGGCAGGAGUUUGGUCUGAGCUUGAGCAAACGCAUGUGGAAGCACUCUGCCCUGAAGGACCACUCGCUUGCAUGGUUGAACAAGAUAAGAAGUCAUCAAACUGGAAAGUCAGCGUCAUUAUUAGAAUUACAAAAUCUGAGGUGCCGGAAGUGCAGUCUGCCACCAUGUCCAGUUACAGGAUGCUGGGGUUUAAACCCAGGACUCUAUGCAUGCUAAGCAAGCACUCUACCAACUGAGCUUUGCGUCCUGGCCUUUCCUUUAAAACAAACAAACAAAAAACAAUGGUGCCACACUAGAAAUAUCUGAAGGGUAAGAGUUAAAAAUUACUUAGUUUUUUUUUUUUUAUUAAUGUGUAUGUGCCUGUGUGAAUUUAUUCUCUCUCUCUCUCUCUCUCUCUCUCUCUCUCUCUCUCUCUCUCUCUUUCUCUCUCUCUCUGUACCUGUGUCUGUGUCCACAGAAGCUAGAAGAGGGUGUCAGAUCCCCUGGAACCAGAUUUACAGGUGGUUGUGAGCUGCUGCCAGAUAUGGGUGCUGGGAGCCAAGCCCAGGUGCUCUUCGAGAACAGUAUGCACUCUUACCUGCUGAGCCAUCUCUAGCCCAUGGGUCAGAUUCUUGAGUGAGGAGAGUGAUGGUAACAGCAGCCAGUGUUAGGCCAGCAUAUGAGAGCUGGAGGCUUUUCCACUAGUUAUUUAGAUAUGAUUAUCUCUCUUUUAUAGGUGAGGCGUCUGGCAAAGGCUACAUUGAUAAUGUAGAUCAGAAACCAGAUCUGAUAUCAAGGUCUCUUCUGGAGGAUAUGGAGAGCAUUGACAGAAAUGGGGUGAUGCUGAAGUCCAGGGCCUCACGUUCCAGUUUACCACUUUGCCAUGCUUUGUGCUCUGUCAUGGGGAGACCAUGCAUGAGUCUGUGGUGGGAUCUCAAAGACCUGUUGCUACUCCAUAGGAAAAGACAGUGUCCCCCAAACGGCCGCCCUAGUCUUGUCUGUGUUGCUGUGAUAAAAUAGUCCCACAAUAAGCGACUUGGGGAAAUGAUGGUUUUUACUCACAAUCCCAGGUUAUAUAAUCCAUCGUUGUGGGGGCAGUCAAGGCAAGAACUUCCAACAGCUAUUCAUAUCACAUCCACAGCCAAGAGAAGAAAAAUGAGUGCUUAUAUGUUUGCUUGCUUGUACUCAGCUCAGUUUCUCCAUUCCUGUACUGUUCAGGAUCCCUUGCUAGGGAAUUGUCCCACCCACAGCGGACAAUUUCACAUCCAUUAACCCAACUACGACAAUCCCCCACAGACAUCCAUCCAGGCUGGUCCACUGCACACAAUCUCUUAUUUAGGCUCUUUUCUAGAAUGGUUCUAGGUUGUGUCAAAUUGAAACCACCACAUGGUCCUAGCUGUUAGAAAGGAAAAGAAACUGAGAUCACAGCUGUUUCCUAACUAAGUAUGACACCAUCUCAGGACAGUAAUGAUGCAGAGUGGCCUCUCACACGAACCCUCUGCUCUCCUGGGUAUAGUGAUUUCACUUCUUUCUAGUGGAAGUCAGAAUACAGGAUGUAUAGGAAGGGGAGGCUGAAGUGAAAGCAGCCUCCUCAUUGAAAUGGAUUGCUUUCUCCUUCCUUCCUCCCACUGCUCUGAAAUUUCCCUCUCCAAAGGAAAGGAAAUGUUCCGUGGAGAAACCUGACAAAUCAGUGAGUCAAGACAGGUCACUCAGAGAAGACAGGGAUGGUGUUACUACUGGGAAGAUUUCUUUAAAGCCUUUAAAGUGAGAGGCACUCAGUAUUUUUUAAAAUUAUCUUUAUUUGUGUACACACACACACACACACACACACACACACACACACACACACACCAUCACACACACACACACACACACAGACCAUCUGUGUGCCGGUACCCAAGGAAGCCAGAA